CGAGUGGCGAACGGGUGAGUAAUACAUCAGACGUGCCCGAUCGUGGGGGAUAACGGAGCGAAAGCUUUGCUAAUACCGCAUACGAUCUACGGAUGAAAGCGGGGGAUCUUCGGACCUCGCGCGGACGGAGCGGCCGAUGGCAGAUUAGUAGUUGGUGGGAUAAAAGCUUACCAAGCCGACAUCUGUACUGGUCUGAGAGGAUGAUCAGCCACACUGGGACUGAGACACGGCCCAGACUCCUACGGGAGGCAGCAGUGGGGAAUUUUGGACAAUGGGGGCAACCCUGAUCCAGCCAUGCCGCGUGCAGGAUGAAGCCUUCGGCUUGUAAACUGCUUUUGUACGGAACGAAAAGACUCUGGUUAAUACCUUGGGGUCCAUGACGGUACCGUAAAGAAUAAGCACCGGCUUAAACUACGUGCCACAAGGCCGGCGGGGUAAAUACGUUAAGGGGGUUGGCCAGGGCCGGUUAAAUCCGGGAAAUUUAACUUGGGGGGCGUUAAAAGGCGGUUGGCGGCCAGGGCGGGUGAAUUGUUAGAACCAGGAAGGGUGGAAAAAUUCCCCCCGGGGGCUUCCAAACCUUGGGGGAAACUUGGCCUUUUG
rnacentral:rRNA from 1 species